UGAGUGGCGGACGGGUGAGUAACGCGUGGGCAACCUGCCCUGUACAGGGGGACAACACUUAGAAAUAGGUGCUAAUACCGCAUAACGGGGGGAGCCGCAUGGCACCCCCUGAAAACUCCGGUGGUACAGGAUGGGCCCGCGUCUGAUUAGCUGGUUGGCAGGGUAACGGCCUACCAAGGCGACGAUCAGUAGCCGGCCUGAGAGGGCGGACGGCCACACUGGGACUGAGACACGGCCCAGACUCCUACGGAAGGCAGCAG
rnacentral:rRNA from 1 species